rnacentral:rRNA from 1 species
AUGAACGCUGGCGGCGUGCCUAAUACAUGCAAGUCGAGCGAACAGACGAGGAGCUUGCUCCUUCGACGUUAGCGGCGGACGGGUGAGUAACACGUAGGUAACCUACCUAUAAGACUGGGAUAACUUCGGGAAACCGGAGCUAAUACCGGAUAAUAUUUCGAACCGCAUGGUUCGAUAGUGAAAGAUGGCUUGGCUAUCAUUUAUAGAUGGACCUGCGCCGUAUUAGCUAGUUGGUAAGGUAACGGCUUACCAAGGCAACGAUACGUAGCCGACCUGAGAGGGUGAUCGGCCACACUAGAACUGAGACACGGUCCAGACUCCUACGGGAGGCAGCAGUAGGGAAUCUUCCGCAAUGGGCGAAAGCCUGACGGAGCAACGCCGCGUGAGUGAUGAAGGUCUUCGGAUCGUAAAACUCUGUUAUUAGGGAAGAACAAACGUGUAAGUAACUGUGCACGUCUUGACGGUACCUAAUCAGAAAGCCACGGCUAACUACGUG